rnacentral:rRNA from 1 species
GACGAGCGCUGGCGGCGUGCUUAACACAUGCAAGUCGAACGGAAAGGCCCUGCUUUUGUGGGGUGCUCGAGUGGCGAACGGGUGAGUAACACGUGAGUAACCUGCCCUUGACUUUGGGAUAACUUCAGGAAACUGGGGCUAAUACCGGAUAGGAGCUCCUGCUGCAUGGUGGGGGUUGGAAAGUUUCGGCGGUUGGGGAUGGACUCGCGGCUUAUCAGCUUGUUGGUGGGGUAGUGGCUUACCAAGGCUUUGACGGGUAGCCGGCCUGAGAGGGUGACCGGCCACAUUGGGACUGAGAUACGGCCCAGACUCCUACGGGAGGCAGCAGUGGGGAAUAUUGCACAAUGGGCGGAAGCCUGAUGCAGCAACGCCGCGUGCGGGAUGACGGCCUUCGGGUUGUAAACCGCUUUCGCCUGUGACGAAGCGUGAGUGACGGUAAUGGGUAAAGAAGCACCGGCUAACUACGUGCCAGCAGCCGCGGUGAUACGUAGGGUGCGAGCGUUGUCCGGAUUUAUUGGGCGUAAAGGGCUCGUAGGUGGUUGAUCGCGUCGGAAGUGUAAUCUUGGGGCUUAACCCUGAGCGUGCUUUCGAUACGGGUUGACUUGAGGAAGGUAGGGGAGAAUGGAAUUCCUGGUGGAGCGGUGGAAUGCGCAGAUAUCAGGAGGAACACCAGUGGCGAAGGCGGUUCUCUGGGCCUUUCCUGACGCUGAGGAGCGAAAGCGUGGGGAGCGAACAGGCUUAGAUACCCUGGUAGUCCACGCUGUAAACGGUGGGUACUAGGUGUGGGGUCCAUUCCACGGGUUCCGUGCCGUAGCUAACGCUUUAAGUACCCCGCCUGGGGAGUACGGCUGCAAGGCUAAAACUCAAAGGAAUUGACGGGGCCCCGCACAAGCGGCGGAGCAUGCGGAUUAAUUCGAUGCAACGCGUAGAACCUUACCUGGGUUUGACAUGGAUCGGGAGUGCUCAGAGAUGGGUGUGCCUCUUUUGGGGUCGGUUCACAGGUGGUGCAUGGCUGUCGUCAGCUCGUGUCGUGAGAUGUUGGGUUAAGUCCCGCAACGAGCGCAACCCUUGUUCACUGUUGCCAGCACGUUAUGGUGGGGACUCAGUGGAGACCGCCGGGGUCAACUCGGAGGAAGGUGGGGAUGACGUCAAGUCAUCAUGCCCCUUAUGUCCAGGGCUUCACGCAUGCUACAAUGGCUGGUACAGAGAGUGGCGAGCCUGUGAGGGUGAGCGAAUCUCGGACAGCCGGUCUCAGUUCGGAUUGGGGUCUGCAACUCGACCUCAUGAAGUCGGAGUCGCUAGUAAUCGCAGAUCAGCAACGCUGCGGUGAAUACGUUCCCGGGGCU